AUUGAACGCUGGCGGCAUGCCUUACACAUGCAAGUCGAACGGUAACAGGUCUUCGGAUGCUGACGAGUGGCGAACGGGUGAGUAAUACAUCGGAACGUGCCCGAUCGUGGGGGAUAACGGAGCGAAAGCUUUGCUAAUACCGCAUACGAUCUACGGAGGAAAGCAGGGGACCGCAAGGCCUUGCGCGGACGGAGCGGCCGAUGGCAGAUUAGGGAGUUGGUGGGAUAAAAGCUUACCAAGCCGACGAUCUGUAGCUGGUCUGAGAGGACGACCAGCCACACUGGGACUGAGACACGGCCCAGACUCCUACGGGAGGCAGCAGUGGGGAAUUUUGGACAAUGGGCGAAAGCCUGAUCCAGCCAUGCCGCGUGCAGGAUGAAGGCCUUCGGGUUGUAAACUGCUUUUGUACGGAACGAAAAGACUCUUUCUAAUAAAGAGGGUCCAUGACGGUACCGUAAGAAUAAGCACCGGCUAACUACGUG
rnacentral:rRNA from 1 species